rnacentral:tRNA from 1 species
GGUGGUAUAGCUCAAGUGGUAGAGCACAUGGUUAGCAUGCACAAGGUCCUGGGUUCAAUCCCCAGUACUUCCU